GAAAUGGACUGAUAUUCAUGAUAGAUUUUUAAUUGUAAAUAUUACUUGGCGAUUAUUUGGCGCUGAUUAGCAUGAUGCAGUAAUGAGAAGAAGUGUUUGUUUAUUAAAUGUUGAUUACGUACCGGAUGAAAGGAAAAUAAUAGAAAUCUGUUAAAUUUCGAUUGCGGAUUGUGAGAAUCCUUGAUGAAUGGUGUAAUUUUGGGAUGAGCCCGGGCAGUAAGAAGGAUUGCAUUGUCACCUCAUCUUUCCGGCGAAAAGCGACAGCUAUAAGAAAGCCAGGCUUGCUACAUGCUGCGCAUUUUGGAUGGAAUCCGGUACCAAGAAAUAAAAAAGAAGAAUUCCUCCUGUAGAUUUGUUUACCA